rnacentral:misc_RNA from 1 species
UUAAGUUCAGCGGGUAGUCCUACCUGAUUUGAGGUCACAUUAAAUGAAAAAGUUGUCCAAGUCAAUGGACUAUUAGGAGCUGAACUCUGCCUUCACCCGUCAAUAGCGUAGAUAGUUAUCACACCAAUGAACGGAGUCAACAAAUUUGUUCUGCUAAUGCAUUUCAGGGGAGCCGACCUCAAAAGGCCAGCAAAAACACC